rnacentral:lncRNA from 1 species
UUUACAAAAUCAAUCAUUGCUAAAAUCAGUUUUUGUCAUGCAAAAUGAAACACAUGAAGUAUGAAAUACAUUCUGACUCCUAUGCUAACCAGCCACUAAAAAAAGCGACAUAAAUAUCACUCGUCACCACUACUCACCUCAAAAGAACACCUUUGUAAAAGAGAACUUACUUCUCAUCACCAACACCGAGCCACAUCCGAAGAACUCCUUCUCUAAAGAUCAUUCAGCUUCCACCACCGCACAACCUCCGGUCCACGAAGGAACACCAUAAAAGCCCAAAACCAAACUAGCACCAACAUACUGUGUUUGAGUCAAUAGUAGUUUGAGAAUGCAAUCAAUACCAUCGUAGUUUUGAGAAUGGCCUCGUAUUUGAAUUGAAAUACAAUAGUCAUGAUAUAUAUGUAUAUGUGUAUAUAAUAUAACAAAGCAAAGAAGGUCAAUAAUGGAUCUGUGGCGCAAUGGUAGCGCGUCUGACUCCAGAUCAGAAGGUUGCGUGUUCGAUUCACGUCAGGUUCAUUACCCUUUUUUAUGUUCUUUUUUGACAGAAAAUGCUUCUCUAGAACAGGGGCCAGAUAGAAAGAGAUUACGAAAGAGAGCUUUGAGAUUAUUUUUUCCUUAGUUAUACUUUAAUUUAUAGAGAUUACUUUUCUUCUUCUAUGAGAAAAUGAUUAUUUAUUUUUUUGCAUUUUAGGGAGUCUAUGGUCUGUAUCAUUCUCCUAUAACUUCAUGUGUCACUGGAUUUUGAUAAAAUGUGAAAUACACUCUCCCACAAGCUUCUAAUGCUAUUAACCAAAACCGUUUUUGGCUUUGCUAGUUACUGUACAUUCUAAUGCUGUUAAGGAAGUUAAUUCUUGUAACAAGAAAGUUUCAGGGUCUACUCUUUCACCUUUAUGGAUAGAAAUAGCAUUCUGCAACACUGCAACAAGCAUAAUAUUGUAGAACUCUUGGUCAUAUAUGCUCUGAUGCUAUUGGAUAGAAAAUAGAAGUUAUAAGAUAUUAACUUUAGUAUUAUUGCUAUUGCACUGUCUCAUGAACCAAUUGUCUCAAAAGCAUUAGUGUUUUGUUUUUUGUUAAGAAGUCAAACUGGUUCACCGAAAUUGGCACUAGAGAAUCGAACAUGAAACCUUGUUAAAAGUUUUUAGUUGUUAGUUGAAACUUUCACCGUGAAAGACAUGAAUGGUUUAAUAUCAACACACUGCUUCAUUUUUGAAUGUUUGUUUGCAGUAUGGGAAUUCGAAAGCAAUUAUAGAGGUGGCUGGAGUGAUAUCCCAUUCACUUAUUUCAGUCCUGGCCAGUUUAACUACAUCAGACACUUGAACACUAUACUUAUAAGAGAGGCACUUACUACAACAGUCGGUAGAAGAGGCACUUGCCACAACAAUCGCUGGAACACUACUGAACUACCGAUAACAGACAAUUAGUUACCAAAUCAAACGCCACCGAGAGACUAUGUUGAUAGCAAGUGCUUACCAUAUUAUACGUCGGAACCAGCUAUUCCUUCUCCAAGCUCAAUGUCCACAACCAAAUACUGUACCAAUGGAAUUUGUGAUGUUAAGUUUACUCACACGAAUUUUUAAGAACAUAAUAAUGAAAAGAGACAUCGAACAUUAUUAGAACUCCAUGAGCAAUUAAUGAAAUUUAAAACUUCAAAUGGACAAGAGAGUA